CAUUAGGUGGCUGAAAGCCUUAAGCAAUGGUCUCUUAAACCAAUAUAUAGUAUGUUCAUACUCCUAAUGA
rnacentral:tRNA from 1 species